rnacentral:rRNA from 1 species
CAAUAGCGUAUAUUAAAGUUGUUGCAGUUAAAAAGCUCGUAGUUGGAUUUCGGGACGGGCCAGUUGGUCCGCCGCAAGGUGUGUUACUGACUGGUCUGUUCUUCUUCGCAAAGACUGCGUGUGCUCUUCGUUGAGUGUGCGUAGGAUUUACGACGUUUACUUUGAAAAAAUUAGAGUGUUCAAAGCAGGCUAUCGCUUGAAUACAUGAGCAUGGAAUAAUGGAAUAGGACUUUGGUCCUAUUUUGUUGGUUUCUAGGACCGAAGUAAUGAUUAAGAGGGACAAUUGGGGGCAUCCGUAUUUCGUUGUCAGAGGUGAAAUUCUUGGAUUUGCGAAAGACGAACAACUGCGAAAGCACUUGCCAAGAGUGUUUUCAUUAA